rnacentral:rRNA from 3 species
GGGUGACUGCGUACCUUUUGUAUAAUGGGUCAGCGACUUAUAUUCUGUAGCAAGGUUAACCGUAUAGGGGAGCCGCAGGGAAACCGAGUCUUAACUGGGCGUUAAGUUGCAGGGUAUAGACCCGAAACCCGGUGAUCUAGCCAUGGGCAGGUUGAAGGUUGGGUAACACUAACUGGAGGACCGAACCGACUAAUGUUGAAAAAUUAGCGGAUGACUUGUGGCUGGGGGUGAAAGGCCAAUCAAACCGGGAGAUAGCUGGUUCUCCCCGAAAGCUAUUUAGGUAGCGCCUCGUGAACUCAUCUUCGGGGGUAGAGCACUGUUUCGGCUAGGGGGUCAUCCCGACUUACCAACCCGAUGCAAACUACGAAUACCGAAGAAUGUUAUCACGGGAGACACACGGCGGGUGCUAACGUCCGUCGUGAAGAGGGAAACAACCCAGACCGCCAGCUAAGGUCCCAAAGUCAUGGUUAAGUGGGAAACGAUGUGGGAAGGCCCAGACAGCCAGGAUGUUGGCUUAGAAGCAGCCAUCAUUUAAAGAAAGCGUAAUAGCUCACUGGUCGAGUCGGCCUGCGCGGAAGAUGUAACGGGGCUAAACCAUGCACCGAAGCUGCGGCAGCGACACUAUGUGUUGUUGGGUAGGGGAGCGUUCUGUAAGCCGUUGAAGGUGGCCUGUGAGGGUUGCUGGAGGUAUCAGAAGUGCGAAUGCUGACAUAAGUAACGAUAAUGCGGGUGAAAAACCCGCACGCCGGAAGACCAAGGGUUCCUGUCCAACGUUAAUCGGGGCAGGGUGAGUCGACCCCUAAGGCGAGGCCGAAAGGCGUAGUCGAUGGGAAACAGGUUAAUAUUCCUGUACUCGGUGUUACUGCGAAGGGGGGACGGAGAAGGCUAUGUUGGCCGGGCGACGGUUGUCCCGGUUUAAGCAUGUAGGCGGAUGUUCCAGGUAAAUCCGGAACGUUAUCAACGCUGAGGUGUGAUGACGAGGCACUACGGUGCUGAAGUGACAAAUGCCCUGCUUCCAGGAAAAGCCUCUAAGCAUCAGGUAACAUCAAAUCGUACCCCAAACCGACACAGGUGGUCAGGUAGAGAAUACCAAGGCGCUUGAGAGAACUCGGGUGAAGGAACUAGGCAAAAUGGUGCCGUAACUUCGGGAGAAGGCACGCUGAUGGUA